UGGAUCUCAGAGACCAGGACCGAGAGCGGGAUGGAGGAGGACAACCAGGACCCGGAGCCCCGGAGCAACAACGUCCCCGGAGGACAAACAGCAGGUUCGAGCUCUGAUAGCACCGAUGUUCAGAUGCCAGUAGGUGUGUUUAAGAUCAUCAGUUAAUGGUGCCACCUGGGCCUGGUGUUCUCCAGUAUAUGUUCUGCACUGUGGGCUAGAGCGUAGGGGAACCCUGUUCUCUAUGCUCCACGCUCCUUGUUAUUUUUGUUUCUUUGACCAUACAACACUCAACUCUCAAUUACUUCAAGCAUGCGUACCUGCUGACAUGACUGACCUACUGAUUAUCACACUUCAGAGGAUUAUUUAAAUAUUAAGUUAUUUCUGUUAGCUUAAAAAUAAAAGUAAUGGUACCUUUUACUG